rnacentral:misc_RNA from 1 species
UUUCCGUAGGUGAACCUGCGGAAGGAUCAUUAUCGAAUUUCGAGGGGAAGGAAGAUGAGGAGUGGAGACUGUCGCUGGCUUUCCCGCCUGGGAAGCAUGUGCACGCCUUGCUUUUCGUUGACCUUUCUCUUACUCUCACACCUGUGCACCCAUUGUAGGUCCUCGAAAGAGGAACUAUGUUUUUAUCAUCACACGCAUCGUAUGUCCAUAGAAUGUGACAUGAUCGUCGAUCGACCUCGCGGUCGGGUGGCGGUCUAAAUAAAUAAAUACAACUUUCAGCAACGGAUCUCUUGGCUCUC